rnacentral:rRNA from 1 species
UACGUAGGGUGCGAGCGUUACUCGGAAUUACUGGGCGUAAAGCGUGCGCAGGCGGCCGCGCAAGUCGAGUGUGAAAGCCCCGGGCUUAACUUGGGAAUUGCGCUCGAAACUACGUGGCUGGAGUGUGGCAGAGGAAGGUGGAAUUCCAGGUGUAGCGGUGAAAUGCGUAGAGAUCUGGAGGAACACCGAUGGCGAAGGCAGCCUUCUGGGCCAACACUGACGCUCAUGCACGAAAGCGUGGGGAGCAAACAGG